rnacentral:rRNA from 1 species
GAUGAACGCUGGCGGCGUGCCUAAUACAUGCAAGUCGAGCGAACAGACGAGGAGCUUGCUCCUCUGACGUUAGCGGCGGACGGGUGAGUAACACGUGGAUAACCUCCCUAUAAGACUGGGAUAACUUCGGGAAACCGGAGCUAAUACCGGAUAAUAUAUUGAACCGCAUGGUUCAUUAGUGAAAGACGGUUUUGCUGUCAUUUAUAGAUGAAUCCGCGCCGCAUUAGCUAGUUGGUAAGGUAACGGCUUACCAAGGCAACGAUGCGUAGCCGACCUGAGAGGGUGAUCGGCCACACUGGAACUGAGACACGGUCCAGACUCCUACGGGAGGCAGCAGUAGGGAAUCUUCCGCAAUGGGCGAAAGCUUGACGGAGCAACGCCGCGUGAGUGAUGAAGGUCUUCGGAUCGUAAAACUCUGUUAUUAGGGAAGAACAAAUGUGUAAGUAACUAUGCACGUCUUGACGGUACCUAAUCAGAAAGCCACGGCUAACUACGUG